AGCAGUAGGGAAUCUUCCACAAUGGACGAAAGUCUGAUGGAGCAAUGCCGCGUGAGUGAAGAAGGGUUUCGGCUCGUAAAACUCUGUUGUUAAAGAAGAACACCUUUGAGAGUAACUGUUCAAGGGUUGACGGUAUUUAACCAGAAAGCCACGGCUAACUACGUGCCAGCAGCCGCGGUAAUACGUAGGUGGCAAGCGUUGUCCGGAUUUAUUGGGCGUAAAGCGAGCGCAGGCGGUUUUUUAAGUCUGAUGUGAAAGCCUUCGGCUUAACCGGAGAAGUGCAUCGGAAACUGGGAGACUUGAGUGCAGAAGAGGACAGUGGAACUCCAUGUGUAGCGGUGGAAU
rnacentral:rRNA from 1 species